rnacentral:rRNA from 1 species
GCAGCAGUAGGGAUCUUCGGCAUGGACGCAAGUCUGACCGAGCAACGCCGCGUGAGUGAAGAAGGUUUUCGGAUCGUAAAGCUCUGUUGUCAGCAAAGAACAGGAGAAAGAGGAAAUGCUUUUUCUAUGACGGUAGCUGACCAGAAAGCCACGGCUAACUACGUGCCAGCAGCCGCGGUAAUACGUAGGUGGCAAGCGUUGUCCGGAUUUAUUGGGCGUAAAGCGAGCGCAGGCGGUGAUUUAAGUCUGAUGUGAAAGCCCCCAGCUCAACUGGGGAGGGUCAUUGGAAACUGGAUCACUUGAGUGCAGAAGAGGAGAGUGGAAUUCCAUGUGUAGCGGUGAAAUGCGUAGAUAUAUGGAGGAACACCAGUGGCGAAGGCGGCUCUCUGGUCUGUAACUGACGCUGAGGCUCGAAAGCGUGGGUAGCAAACAGGAUUAGAUACCCUGGUAGUCCACGCCGUAAACGAUGAGUGCUAAGUGUUGGAGGGUUUCCGCCCUUCAGUGCUGCAGUUAACGCAUUAAGCACUCCGCCUGGGGAGUACGACCGCAAGGUUGAAACUCAAAGGAAUUGACGGGCCCCCC